rnacentral:rRNA from 1 species
AUACGUAGGGUGCGAGCGUUGUCCGGAAUUACUGGGCGUAAAGAGCUCGUAGGUGGUUUGUCGCGUCGUCUGUGAAAUUCCGGGGCUUAACUCCGGGCGUGCAGGCGAUACGGGCAUAACUUGAGUACUGUAGGGGAGACUGGAAUUCCUGGUGUAGCGGUGAUAUGCGCAGAUAUCAGGAGGAACACCGGUGGCGAAGGGGGGUCUUUGGACAGUAACUGACGCUGAGGAGCGAAAGCAUGGUUAGCGAACAGGGUUAGAUCCCCUUGUGGUCCCUGCCUUAAACAGUGGGCGCUAGGUGUAGGGGUCUUCCACGACUUCUGUGCCGUAGCUAACACAUUAACCGCCCCGCCUGGGGAGUACGGCCUCAAGGCUAAAACUCAAAGGAAUUGACGUGG